GAUCUCUCUGUAGGCAUUGAGUGGCUAGUGAGCGGGUAUUUUAAGCCACCUGUCGUCCAGACCUCAUCAGCUGAAUAGCCUGUUGUGCUAAAGUUCACCACAGAGAAGGCAGUAGUUGUUAACCCUGAGAUUUGUUACAGGUGGAUGGGCCCCUGUGAAUGUGUUUGCUGUCUAAGGGUGUGGCUCUUCCCUUUUUUGGCUAUACAAUUGCCCUCAGCUUGUUGGCCAUUUCUUCCCCUUUUAGUGUUCUGCCAGACGGACAGGGUGGUGGAUUGUGGGAACCCCUUUCCCCUUCACUGCAUGUAGUGGUGUGUAUGACAGCUGUGUGCGUAUGCUUAACUUAGUUUUAUUGUGUGGCGUUUGUGUGUAUCUUGCUGUGUUUAGGUGGCUGCGCCCCAGUGUGAGUGGUGGUGUCAAGGCACCUGGGUGGCCCACAUGUAACCCCCCUACAGGUCUGGCUCCUGUAGAUGCUGAGGUGUCUUUAACCGUGUGCUUUUAUCCCUUAGCAUUUCUGUCAGUAAUGGCAUCUACAUCCC